CUACGGGGUGCUGCAGUAGGGAAUUUUCGGCAAUGGGGGAAACCCUGACCGAGCAACGCCGCGUGAAUGACGAAGUACUUCGGUAUGUAAAGUUCUUUUAUUAGGGAAGAAUGGCAGGUGGAAAAACCUGAUUGACGGUACCUAAUGAAUAAGCCCCGGCUAACUAUGUGCCAGCAGCCGCGGUAAUACAUAGGGGGCAAGCGUUAUCCGGAAUUAUUGGGCGUAAAGGGUGCGUAGGUGGUUAGUUAAGUCUUUGGUGUAAGUGCAGUGCUUAACGCUGUGAUUCUAAAGAAACUGGCUGACUUGAGUGUGGUAGAGGCAAGUGGAAUUCCAUGUGUAGCGGUAAAAUGCGUAAAUAUAUGGAGGAACACCAGUGGCGAAGGCGGCUUGCUGGGCCACAACUGACACUGAGGCACGAAAGCGUGGGGAGCAAACAGGAUUAGAUACCCUCGUAGUC
rnacentral:rRNA from 1 species